rfam:Populus trichocarpa scaffold_5_contig_400, whole genome shotgun sequence.
CAAUCUGUUUGGAGCAUAUCCUCAUUUAAUUAUGGUAGACUCACACUUGACUGCUCAUAAUCACUCACUAUUGUUUGAACAAUAACUUUUUUAGUUUUUAAUUGGAGU